UACAUGAGUCCUGCCUUGAAACACUGUU
rnacentral:piRNA from 1 species